rnacentral:tRNA from 1 species
GCCGGUGUAGCUCAGUAGUUAGAGUGAUUCCUUGGUAAGGAAUAGGUCAUGAGUUCAAUUCUCAUCAUUGGCU